UACGUAGAAGGCUAGUGUUAGUUAUCUUUAUUGGGUUAAAGGGUAUGUAGACGGUAAAUUAAACUCUAAAAGAGUACUUUUUACUAGAGUUAUAUGUGAGAAGGAAGAAUUCCUGGAGUAGAGAUAAAAUUUUUUGAUACCAGGGGGACUGUCAACGGCGAAGGCGUCCUUCUAUGUAAUAACUGACGUUGAGAUACGAAGGCUUGGGUAGCAAACAGG
rnacentral:rRNA from 1 species